rnacentral:rRNA from 1 species
AGAUUAAGUUAUUAAGGGCGCACGGUGGAUGCCUUGGCACUAGAAGCCGAAGAAGGACGUUACUAACGACGAUAUGCUUUGGGUAGCUGUAAGUAAGCGUUGAUCCAGAGAUUUCCGAAUGGGGGAACCCAACAUGAGUUAUGUCAUGUUAUCGACAUGUGAAUUCAUAGCAUGUCAGAAGGCAGACCCGGAGAACUGAAACAUCUUAGUACCCGGAGGAAGAGAAAGAAAAAUCGAUUCCCUGAGUAGCGGCGAGCGAAACGGGAAGAGCCCAAACCAACAAGCUUGCUUGUUGGGGUUGUAGGACACUCUAUACGGAGUUACAAAAGAACAUGUUAGACGAAUCAUCUGGAAAGAUGAAUCAAAGAAGGUAAUAAUCCUGUAGUCGAAAACAUAUUCUCUCUUGAGUGGAUCCUGAGUACGACGGAGCACGUGAAAUUCCGUCGGAAUCUAGGAGGACCAUCUCCUAAGGCUAAAUACUCUCUAGUGACCGAUAGUGAACCAGUACCGUGAGGGAAAGGUGAAAAGUACCCCGGAAGGGGAGUGAAAGAGAACUUGAAACCGUGUGCUUACAAGUAGUCAGAGCCCGUUUAUGGGUGAUGGCGUGCCUUUUGUAGAAUGAACCGGCGAGUUACGAUCUGAUGCAAGGUUAAGCAGUGAAUGUGGAGCCGUAGCGAAAGCGAGUCUGAAUAGGGCGUUGAGUAUUUGGUCGUAGACCCGAAACCAGGUGAUCUACCCUUGGUCAGGUUGAAGUUCAGGUAACACUGAAUGGAGGACCGAACCGACUUACGUUGAAAAGUGAGCGGAUGAACUGAGGGUAGCGGAGAAAUUCCAAUCGAACUUGGAGAUAGCUGGUUCUCUCCGAAAUAGCUUUAGGGCUAGCCUCAAGUGAUGAUUAUUGGAGGUAGAGCACUGUUUGGACGAGGGCCCCUCUCGGGUUACCGAAUUCAGACAAACUCCGAAUGCCAAUCAAUUUAACUUGGGAGUCAGAACAUGGGUGAUAAGGUCCGUGUUCGAAAGGGAAACAGCCCAGACCACCAGCUAAGGUCCCAAAAUAUAUGUUAAGUGGAAAAGGAUGUGGCGUUGCCCAGACAACUAGGAUGUUGGCUUAGAAGCAGCCAUCAUUUAAAGAGUGCGUAAUAGCUCACUAGUCGAGUGACACUGCGCCGAAAAUGUACCGGGGCUAAACAUAUUACCGAAGCUGUGGAUUGUCCUUCGGACAAUGGUAGGAGAGCGUUCUAAGGGCGUUGAAGCAUGAUCGCAAGGACAUGUGGAGCGCUUAGAAGUGAGAAUGCCGGUGUGAGUAGCGAAAGACGGGUGAGAAUCCCGUCCACCGAUUGACUAAGGUUUCCAGAGGAAGGCUCGUCCGCUCUGGGUUAGUCGGGUCCUAAGCUGAGGCCGACAGGCGUAGGCGAUGGAUAACAGGUUGAUAUUCCUGUACCACCUAGUAUCGUUUUAAUCGAUGGGGGGACGCAGUAGGAUAGGCGAAGCGUGCUGUUGGAGUGCACGUCCAAGCAGUAAGGCUGAGUGUUAGGCAAAUCCGGCACUCGUUAGGCUGAGCUGUGAUGGGGAGAGGAAAUUGUUUCCUCGAGUCGUUGAUUUCACACUGCCGAGAAAAGCCUCUAGAUAGAUAACAGGUGCCCGUACCGCAAACCGACACAGGUAGUCAAGAUGAGAAUUCUAAGGUGAGCGAGCGAACUCUCGUUAAGGAACUCGGCAAAAUGACCCCGUAACUUCGGGAGAAGGGGUGCUCUUUAGGGUUCACGCCCAGAAGAGCCGCAGUGAAUAGGCCCAAGCGACUGUUUAUCAAAAACACAGGUCUCUGCUAAACCGUAAGGUGAUGUAUAGGGGCUGACGCCUGCCCGGUGCUGGAAGGUUAAGAGGAGUGGUUAGCUUCUGCGAAGCCACGAAUCGAAGCCCCAGUAAACGGCGGCCGUAACUAUAACGGUCCUAAGGUAGCGAAAUUCCUUGUCGGGUAAGUUCCGACCCGCACGAAAGGCGUAACGAUUUGGGCACUGUCUCAACGAGAGACUCGGUGAAAUCAUAGUACCUGUGAAGAUGCAGGUUACCCGCGACAGGACGGAAAGACCCCGUGGAGCUUUACUGUAGCCUGAUAUUGAAAUUCGGCACAGCUUGUACAGGAUAGGUAGGAGCCAUUGAAACGUGAGCGCUAGCUUACGUGGAGGCGUUGGUGGGAUACUACCCUAGCUGUGUUGGCUUUCUAACCCGCACCACUUAUCGUGGUGGGAGACAGUGUCAGGCGGGCAGUUUGACUGGGGCGGUCGCCUCCUAAAAGGUAACGGAGGCGCUCAAAGGUUCCCUCAGAAUGGUUGGAAAUCAUUCACAGAGUGUAAAGGCAUAAGGGAGCUUGACUGCGAGACCUACAAGUCGAGCAGGGUCGAAAGACGGACUUAGUGAUCCGGUGGUUCCGCAUGGAAGGGCCAUCGCUCAACGGAUAAAAGCUACCCCGGGGAUAACAGGCUUAUCUCCCCCAAGAGUUCACAUCGACGGGGAGGUUUGGCACCUCGAUGUCGGCUCAUCGCAUCCUGGGGCUGUAGUCGGUCCCAAGGGUUGGGCUGUUCGCCCAUUAAAGCGGUACGCGAGCUGGGUUCAGAACGUCGUGAGACAGUUCGGUCCCUAUCCGUCGUGGGCGUAGGAAAUUUGAGAGGAGCUGUCCUUAGUACGAGAGGACCGGGAUGGACAUACCUCUGGUGUACCAGUUGUCGUGCCAACGGCAUAGCUGGGUAGCUAUGUAUGGACGGGAUAAGUGCUGAAAGCAUCUAAGCAUGAAGCCCCCCUCAAGAUGAGAUUUCCCAACUUCGGUUAUAAGAUCCCUCGAAGAUGACGAGGUUAAUAGGUUCGAGGUGGAAGCGUGGUGACACGUGGAGCUGACGAAUACUAAUCGAUCGAAGACUUAAUCAAU